rnacentral:rRNA from 1 species
ACGCUCGACACCUACGGGAGGCGCAGUUAGGAAUAUUGGGCAAUGGAGGAAACUCUGACCCAGCAACGCCGCGUGAAGGAAGAAGGUUUUCGGAUUGUAAACUUCUGAUCUAGGGGAAGAAGGAAGUGACGGUACCCUAGGAGAAAGCCACGGCUAACUACGUGCCAGCAGCCGCGGUAAUCUGAGGCGGGCUGGACAAGGC